CUAAACCUAGCAUAAAACAUUUACUUGUAAAAGUAUAGGAGAUAGAAAUUUAAAGCGCUAUAGAAAUAGUACCGCAAGGGAAAGAUGAAAGACAAUAAAAGUAUAAAAUAGCAUAGAUUAUACCUAGUACCUUUUGCAUAAUGAGUUAACUAGAAAACCUUGACAAAAAGAAUUUAAGUCAAAUCCCGAAACCAAACGAGCUACUUUUGAACAGCUAACAUGAGCAAACUCAUCUAUGUGGCAAAAUAGUGAGAAGAUUUAAAAGUAGAGGUGAAAAGCCAACCGAGUUUGGAGAUAGCUGGUUAUCCAAACAAGAAUUUUAGUUCAACUUUAAGUUUUCCUAAAAUAAAAACUUUAAUGAAGACUUAUAUGUUACCUUAAGGAGGGACAGCUCCUUAAAGGAUACAUCCUUAAGCAGAGGGUAAAAAAUAUUACAAUCAUAGUAGGCCCAAAAGCAGCCAUCAAUUAAGAAAGCGUUCAAGCUCAACACAAUUGGAUUAAUCUAUAACCUAUAGAAGAGAUAAUGUUAAUAUCAGUAACUAGAAUAAUUCUCCUUGCACAAGCUUAAGUUAAACAAUUAUAACUAAUUAACAACUUUAUAAAAAAUACACUCAACCAGUUAAUUAUAUUGUUAACCCAACCCAGGAGUGCAACAAGGAAAGACUCAAAUAAGCAAAAGGAACUCGGCAAACACAAACCCCGCCUGUUUACCAAAAACAUCACCUCUAGCAUAACAAGUAUUAGAGGCACUGCCUGCCCAGUGGUUAAACGGCCGCGGUAUUCUGACCGUGCAAAGGUAGCAUAAUCACUUGUUCUUUAAAUAAGGACUAGUAUGAAAGGCUAGACGAGGGUUUAACUGUCUCUUGCUUACAGUCAGUGAAAUUGACCUUCCCGUGAAGAGGCGGGAAUAAACCAAUAAGACGAGAAGACCCUAUGGAGCUUAAAUUUAUUAAUUCAUUACUCUACAAACUCUACAACUAUGAAUUAACAAUUUUGGUUGGGGUGACCUCGGAGUAAAACAAAACCUCCGAAUGAUAUUAACCUAGACUACAAGUCAAAGUUCCUAAUUGACCCAGAAAUUAUCUGAUCAACGAACCAAGUUACCCUAGGGAUAACAGCGCAAUCCUAUUCUAGAGUCCAUAUCGACAAUAGGGUUUACGACCUCGAUGUUGGAUCAGGACCCCCAAAUGGUGCAACCGCUAUUAAAGGUUCGUUUGUUCAACGAUUAAAGUCCUACGUGAUCUGAGUUCAGACCGGAGCAAUCCAGGUCGGUUUCUAUCUAUUAAAAAUUCCUCCCAGUACGAAAGGACAAGAGAAAUAAGGCCAAUAAAUCAAUCACGCCUUAAUAGCAAAAGAAUGAUAUAAUAUCAAUUCCUUAGCUAUUAACUA
rnacentral:rRNA from 1 species